UACAGAGGUCUCAAGCGUUGUUCGGAAUUACUGGGCGUAAAGGGUGCGCAGGCCGCGCGGGCAGUCAAAUGUGUAAUUCAGGGGCUCAACCCCUGCACUGCGCUCGAUACUUCCGCGCUCGAGCUUUGGAGAGGAGUCUGGAAUUCUCGGUGUAGCAGUGAAAUGCGUGGAUAUCGAGAAGAACACUUAGGGCGUAGGCAAGACUCUGGACAAAUGCUGACGCUCAUGCACGAAGGCUAGGGUAGCGAACGGG
rnacentral:rRNA from 1 species